CUCAGAACGAACGCUGGCGGCGUGGAUUAGGUAUGCAAGUCGAACGGGAAACAGGCAGCUGAUCCUUCGGUGUGACGCAGCCUGUGAAACGUGGCGAACGGGUGAGUAACGAAUAGAUUACCUGCCCUUAAGUUCGGGAUAAUCCACCGAAAGGUGAAGUAAUACCGGAUGGUAUGCUGUUUCAUCUGAAACAGCAUUAAAGGAGGCUCUGCUUCCGCUUAAGGAGGGGUUUAUUUCCUAUUAGCUUGUUGGUGAGAUAACAGCUCACCAAUGCGAAGAUGGGUAGGGGGCCUUAGCGGGUUAUCCCCCACACUGGGACUGAGACACUGCCCAGGUUCCUACGGGAGGCUGCAAUCGAGAAUCCUCCGCAAUGGGCGAAAGCCUGACGGGGUGACGCCGCGUGACCGAUGAAGGCCUAUCAGGUCGUAAAGGUCUAACAGGGAGUAUGAAAUUUAUUAUACCUAAUACGUAUAAUAAUUGACAUCAAUCCCAGAUGAAGUCACGGCUAAAUUUGUGCCAGCAGCCGCGGUAAUACAAAUGUGGCAAGCGUUGUUCGGAAUCACUGGGCAUACAGGGCACGUAGGUGGUGCAGUAAGUUAAUUGUGAAAGCCCUCGGCUUAACCGAGGAAUUGCAGUUAAAACUGUUGCGCUAGAGUACAGAAGGGGAGAGUGGAAUUCUAGGUGUAGCGGUGGAAUGCGAAGAUAUCUAGGAGAAGGCCGGUGGCGAAAGCGACUCUCUAUUCUGUUACUGACACUGAGGUGCGAGAGCGUAGGUAGCGAACGGGAUUAGAUACCCCGGUAGUCUACGCUGUAAACGAUGGGCACUAGAUGGUGGAGGCGCCGAUAGCUUCCUCCGUCGAAGCAAAUGCGUUAAGUGCCCCGCCUGGGGACUAUGACCGCAAGGUUAAAACUCAAAGGAAUUGACGGGGGCCCACACAAGCGGUGGAGGAUGUGGCUUAAUUCGAGGACACGCGCAGAACCUUACCGAGGUUUGACAUGCAGGUGGUAGUGAUACGAAAGUUGAACGACCCGUUCAGGGAGCCUGCACAGGUGCUGCAUGGCUGUCGACAGUUCGUGUUGUGAAAUGUUAGGUUAAGUCCUGUAACGAGCGAAACCCUUGUGCCUAUUUGCCAGCGCGUCAUGGCGGGGACUAUAGGCAGACUGCCCCGGCUAACGGGGAGGAAGGCGGGGAUGACGUCAAGUCAGCAUGGCCCUUAUGCCUCGGGCCGCACACGUCCUACAAUGGGCUGUACAAUGAGGACCGAGACCGCAAGGUGGAGGAAAUCUUUUAAAACAGUUCUAAGUUCGGAUUGCAGGCUGCAACUCGCCUGCAUGAAGGUGGAAUCGCUAGUAAUCGCCGGUCAGCUAUACGGCGGUGAAUUUGUCCCUGGGCCUUGUGCACACCGCCCGUCAAGCCACCCGAGUUGGGUGCACCCGAAAUCCGAGGCCUAACCUGCUUGCAGGAGGGAUCGGCUGAAGGUGAGCCCGGCAAGGUGGACUAAGUC
rnacentral:rRNA from 1 species